rnacentral:rRNA from 1 species
CAUGUCUUUUUGAUUAUAAUUUAAAGUCUAACCUGCCCAAUGAAAUAUUUUAAAUGGCUGCGGUAUUUUGACCGUACAAAGGUAGCAUAAUAAUUAGUUUUUUAAUUGAAAACUGGAAUGAAGGGUUGAACGAGAAAAAUACUGUCUCAAUUUAAUUUAAAUUUGAAUUUUAUUUUUAAGUAAAAAAGCUUAAAUAAUCUUAAAAGACGAGAAGACCCUAUAGAGUUUUAUAUUAUUUAUUAUUCUUUAAGUUAAAGUAUUUUAUUUUAUAAUAAUAGUUAGUAUUUAAUUGGGGUGAUUAAAAAAUUAAUUUAACUUUUUUUUUAUUUUUACAUUGAUUUAUGAAUAGUUGAUCCAUUAUUAAUGAUUAUAAGUUUAAAUUACCUUAGGGAUAACAGCGUUAUUUUUUUUUAGAGUUCUUAUCGAAAAAAAAGUUUGCGACC